rnacentral:rRNA from 1 species
UAGCGGCAGGCCUAAUACAUGCAAGUCGAGGGGUAACAGAGGGUGCUUGCACCCUGCUGACGACCGGCGCACGGGUGAGUAACACGUAUGCAACCUACCUUUUACUGGGGGAUAGCCAAGAGAAAUUUUGAUUAAUACCCCAUACGAUCUAAUUAUUUCCUGAUAAAUAGAUGAAAGUUUCGACGGUAAAAGAUGGGCAUGCGUCCUAUUAGUUUGUUGGUAAGGUAACGGCUUACCAAGACUACGAUAGGUAGGGGUCCUGAGAGGGAGAUCCCCCACACUGGUACUGAGACACGGACCAGACUUCUACGGGAGGCAGCAGUAAGGAAUAUUGGACAAUGGAGGAAACUCUGAUCCAGCCAUGCCGCGUGCAGGAAGAAUGCCUUAUGGGUUGUAAACUGCUUUUAUACAGGAAGAAAACUUGGUAUGUAUACCAACUUGACGGUACUGUAAGAAUAAGGAUCGGCUAACUCCGUGCCAGCAGCCGCGGUAAUACGGAGGAUCCAAGCGUUAUCCGGAAUCAUUGGGUUUAAAGGGUCCGCAGGCGGUUUAAUAAGUCAGAGGUGAAAUCCUACAGCUCAACUGUAGAAUUGCCUUUGAUACUGUUAGACUUGAGUUAUUGUGAAGUAAUUAGAAUGUGUAGUGUAGCGGUGAAAUGCAUAGAUAUUACACAGAAUACCGAUUGCGAAAGCAGAUUACUAACAAUAUACUGACGCUGAGGGACGAAAGCGUGGGUAGCGAACAGGAUUAGAUACCCUGGUAGUCCACGCCGUAAACGAUGGAUACUAGCUGUUCGAUGCACAUUGGUGUGUUGAGUGGCUAAGCGAAAGUGAUAAGUAUCCCACCUGGGGAGUAC